GAGAAUUGUCCUUCGGGAUCAACUCUCCCACCCUCUGUUUACCAUACUCUGUUGCUUCGGCAGGCCCGUCUCCGGACCGCCGGCCCCUCUCAAGGGCUGGCCAGCGCCUGUCAGAGGACCUACCAAACUCGUUUUGUUAGUGUAGUCUGAGCUUAAUUUUUAAUAAUUAAAACUUUCAACAACGGAUCUCUUGGUUCUGGCAUCGAUGAAGAACGCAGCGAAAUGCGAUAAGUAAUGUGAAUUGCAGAAUUCAGUGAAUCAUCGAAUCUUUGAACGCACAUUGCACCCCCUGGUAUUCCGGGGGGUAUGCCUGUUCGAGCGUCAUUAAACCCCUCAAGCUCAGCUUGGUAUUGGGACGCGCCUGCCCGGCGCCCCCUAAAAUCAGUGGCGGCUCAGCCUAGACUUCAAGCGUAGUAACACAUCUCGCUGGGGAGUAGGGGCUGGAGGCCUGCCAGAAGCCUAAACUUUUCAAGUUUGACCUCGGAUCAGGUAGGGAUACCCGCUGAACUUAAGCAUAUCAAUAAGCGGAGGAAAAGAAACCAACAGGGAUUGCCUCAGUAACGGCGAGUGAAGCGGCAACAGCUCAAAUUUGAAAUCUGGCUCCGGCCCGAGUUGUAAUUUGUAGAGGAUGCUUAGGGUCUGGCUCCGGUCUAAGUUCCUUGGAACAGGACGUCAUAGAGGGUGAGAAUCCCGUAUGCGACCGGCUGCCUCCGCCCGUGUUAAGCUCCUUCGACGAGUCGAGUUGUUUGGGAAUGCAGCUCUAAAUGGGUGGUAAAUUUCAUCUAAAGCUAAAUACUGGCCAGAGACCGAUAGCGCACAAGUAGAGUGAUCGAAAGAUGAAAAGCACUUUGGAAAGAGAGUUAAAUAGUACGUGAAAUUGUUGAAAGGGAAGCGCUUGCAACCAGACUUGCGCGCGGCUGAUCAUCCGGUGUUCUCACCGGUGCACUCGGCCGCGCUCAGGCCAGCAUCAGUUCUGGCGGUUGGAUAAAGGCCCGGGGAAUGUAGCUUCCUUCGGGGAGUGUUAUAGCCUCGGGUGCAAUGCAGCCUGCCGGGACUGAGGACCGC
rnacentral:rRNA from 1 species